rnacentral:rRNA from 1 species
UACGUAGGGUGCAAGCGUUGUCCGGAAUUAUUGGGCGUAAAGAGCUCGUAGGCGGCCUGUCGCGUCGGCUGUGAAAACCCGAGGCUCAACCUCGGGCCUGCAGUCGAUACGGGCAGGCUAGAGUUCGGUAGGGGAGAUUGGAAUUCCUGGUGUAGCGGUGGAAUGCGCAGAUAUCAGGAGGAACACCGAUGGCGAAGGCAGAUCUCUGGGCCGUAACUGACGCUGAGAAGCGAAAGCAUGGGGAGCGAACAGG